rnacentral:rRNA from 1 species
AGGGCACCACCAGGAGUGGAGCUUGCGGCUUAAUUUGACUCAACGCGGGGAAACUCACUUGGUCAGGACACUGUAAGGAUUGACAGAUUGAAAGCUCUUUCUUGAUUCGGUGGAUGGUGGUGCAUGGCCGUUCUUAGUUGGUGGAGUGAUUUGUCUGGUUAAUUCCGAUAACGAACGAGACUCUAUCUUGCUAACUAGUCGCAGAUUUAUUCUGACUGUUGAGCUUCUUAGAAGGACAGGUGGAUUUAACCAUACGAGAUUGAGCAAUAACAGGUCUGUGAUGCCCUUWGAUGUCCGGGGCCGCACGCGCGCUACACUGAAGUGAUCAGCGUGCAUUCUAUGCCUACUCUGUCAAGAGUGGGAAAACCAAUGAACCUUCUUCGUGAUUGGGAUAGGAGAUUGUAAUUAUUYUCCUUGAACGARGAAUUCCCAGUAAGCGCGAGUCAUAAGCUCGCGUUGAUUACSUCCCUGCCCCUUGUACACACCGCCCCGUCGCUACUACCGAUUGAAUGUUUUUWK